GAUGAACGCUGGCGGCGUGCCUAACACAUGCAAGUCGAACGGAGUCGUUUUGGAAAUCUCUUCGGAGAUGGAAUUCUCGACUUAGUGGCGGACGGGUGAGUAACGCGUGAGCAAUCUGCCUUUAAGAGGGGGAUAACAGUCGGAAACGGCUGCUAAUACCGCAUAAAGCAUUAAAUUCGCAUGUUUUUGAUGCCAAAGGAGCAAUCCGCUUUUAGAUGAGCUCGCGUCUGAUUAGCUAGUUGGCGGGGUAACGGCCCACCAAGGCGACGAUCAGUAGCCGGACUGAGCGGUUGAACGGCCACAUUGGGACUGAGACACGGCCCAGACUCCUACGGGAGGCAGCAGUGGGGAAUAUUGCGCAAUGGGGGAAACCCUGACGCAGCAACGCCGCGUGAUUGAAGAAGGCCUUCGGGUUGUAAAGAUCUUUAAUCAGGGACGAAACAAAUGACGGUACCUGAAGAAUAAGCUCCGGCUAACUACGUG
rnacentral:rRNA from 1 species